UACGUAGGGGCAAGCGUUGUCCGGAUUUAUUGGGCGUAAAGAGCUCGUAGGCGGUCUGUCGCGUCUGUUGUGAAAACUCGAGGCUCAACCUCGGGCUUGCAGUGGAUACGGGCAGACUAGAGUGCGGUAGGGGAGACUGGAAUUCCUGGUGUAGCGGUGGAAUGCGCAGAUAUCAGGAGGAACACCGAUGGCGAAGGCAGGUCUCUGGGCCGCAACUGACGCUGAGGAGCGAAAGCGUGGGGAGCGAACAGG
rnacentral:rRNA from 1 species